rnacentral:lncRNA from 1 species
UAAAGGAACUGGAGCAGGAAGUGGAAAGACUUAAGAAAGAACAAGCCAACAAUAUAAAAGACACAAGUGUCAGAGAAAAUUCUUUAGGCUGUGGAAAAGCUAAGCGUGCUUUUGAUUUUAGUGCUCAUGGCCGUAGACAUGUAGCUCUAAAAAUAGCCUAUCUAGGCUGGGGAUACCAGGGCUUUGCCAGUCAGGAAAACACAAGCAAUACCAUUGAAGAGAAACUGUUUGAGGCUUUAAUAAAGACCCGACUAGUAGAAAGCAGACAGACUUCCAACUAUCACCGGUGUGGUCGAACAGACAAAGGAGUUAGCGCCUUUGGACAGUUUCUCUCUGAAUUCCACAGGUAAUUUCUCUGGACCUGCGUUCUCAGUUUCCAAGGAGCAGGGAUUCAGAAGAUUCUAAUUUAAAAGAUGGAGCUGAUGAUAUUGCUAAAGAGAUCCGUUAUGCUCACAUUCUCAAUCGGGUGCUUCCUGCAGACAUCAGGGUAUUGGCCUGGGCCCCUGCAGAACCUAGCUUCAGUGCUAGGUUUAGCUGUCUUGAGCGGACCUACCGCUACUUUUUCCCCUGUGCUGAUUUAGAUAUUGCAACUAUGAAUUAUGCAGCUCAGAAAUACGUUGGCAC